UACGAAGGGUGCAAGCGUUACUCGGAAUUACUGGGCGUAAAGCGUGCGUAGGUGGUGAUUUAAGUCUGGUGUGAAAGCCCUGGGCUCAACCUGGGAAUGGCAUUGGAAACUGGGUCACUGGAGUGCGGUAGAGGAUGGCGGAAUUCCCGGUGUAGCAGUGAAAUGCGUAGAGAUCGGGAGGAACAUCCGUGGCGAAGGCGGCCAUCUGGACCAGCACUGACACUGAGGCACGAAAGCGUGGGGAGCAAACAGG
rnacentral:rRNA from 1 species